rnacentral:rRNA from 1 species
UACGUAGGGUGCAAGCGUUGUCCGGAAUUAUUGGGCGUAAAGAGCUCGUAGGCGGUUCGUCGCGUCGGCUGUGAAAACCCGGAGCUCAACUCCGGGCCUGCAGUCGAUACGGGCGGACUUGAGUGUUGCAGGGGAGACUGGAAUUCCUGGUGUAGCGGUGAAAUGUGCAGAUAUCAGGAGGAACACCAGUGGCGAAGGCAGGAUCUCUGGGCCGUAAUGACUCGUGAGGAGCGAAAGCAUGGGGAGCAAACGGG